GUACCAGCCAGAUGAGAGAACAUAUGAGUUAAGUAAACCGACAUACAGAUCAAUCUUUAGUGUAGGUUAGUGAGGAAUCCAUGCUGUUAUACAGAAAUGUCUGAGGAGCUCUAUACCACAAUAGACUUCACCAAGAAGGUUAGAUUUCAGGCAGGCGAGAAAAAAGAUGACAUCUUGGAUGAAUCUAAUACAAGUGAUGGAGUGAUGAUUUAUGACAACUAUGUGGUACCAAAAUUAGAAGAUAAAUCUACUGAGGACCAACAAAAAGCUAAUUCGGUAACUGUAGAGUCAUGAAAGAAGAAUCGUGUCAUUGCUGCUGGAGUGUUUCUGGGUGUGUUGAGUCUUCUUCUCCUCUCUGCAAUCAUUGUCCUGGUGAUCCAGUGUGAGUUUUCUAACUUGGCUUAUCUGAUUACACUGAACAACUAAAACAUUUUGCUCCCUGA